UACGUAGGGGGGCAAGCGUUGUCCGGAAUCAUUGGGCGUAAAGAGCGUGUAGGCGGUUCGGUAAGUCUGCUGUGAAAGUCCAGGGCUCAACCCUGGGAUGCCGGUGGAUACUGUCGAGCUCGAGUCCGGAAGAGGCGAGUGGAAUUCCUGGUGUAGCGGUGAAAUGCGCAGAUAUCAGGAGGAACACCAAUGGCGAAGGCAGCUCGCUGGGACGUGACUGACGCUGAGACGCGAAAGCGUGGGGAGCAAACAGG
rnacentral:rRNA from 1 species